GGAAGUGAGGGCAAUCUGGCCAUGACAUCUGUCACCCCAUUGAUCGCCAGUGUUGAUUCGGCUGAUCUGGCUGGCUAGGCGGAUGCUCCCUUCCUCCCUCACCACUCCACGUGUGUCCCUCCCGAUGUCGCAUGCUCAGUUGAAGAGGACGACCUUCCCCGAUAGAAGAGGAUCGGUCUUCGGUCAAGGGUAUACGAGUAGCUGUGCUCCCCUGCUGGAACCUCCAAACAAGCUCUCAAGGUCCAUUUGUAGGAGAAUGUAGGAUAGGCAAGCUUCUAAGACUCCACAAACACAUCCAAAUGUCUUUCUUU
rnacentral:snRNA from 1 species